rnacentral:rRNA from 1 species
CCUACGGGAGGCAGCAGUGAGGAAUAUUGGUCAAUGGACGAGAGCCUGAACCAGCCAAGUAGCGUGAAGGAUGACUGCCCUAUGGGUUGUAAACUUCUUUUAUAUGGGAAUAAAAUGUUCCACGUGUGGGUUUUUGUAUGUACCAUAUGAAUAAGGAUCGGCUAACUCCGUGCCAGCAGCCGCGGUAAUACGGAGGAUCCGAGCGUUAUCCGGAUUGAUUGGGUUGAAAGGGAGCGUAGGUGGGUUGUUACGUCAGUUGUGAAAGUUUGCGGCUCAACCGUAAAAUUGCACUUGAGACUGGCAGGAUUGAGUAAAGUAGAGGUAGGGAGAAGGCGGGGUGUAGCGGUGAAAUGCUGAGAUA